rnacentral:tRNA from 3 species
CGCGGAGUGGAGCAGUUUGGCAGCUCGUCGGGCUCAUAACCCGAAGGUCACAGGUUCGAGUCCUGUCUCCGCAACCA